rnacentral:misc_RNA from 1 species
UCUCCGUUGGUGAACCAGCGGAGGGAUCAUUAUCGAGUUUACAACUCCCAAACCCCUGUGAACAUACCAUUUGUUGCCUCGGCGGUGCCUGCUUCGGCAGCCCGCCAGAGGACCCAAACCCUUGAUUUUAUACAGUAUCUUCUGAGUAAAUGAUUAAAUAAAUCAAAACUUUCAACAACGGAUCUCUUGGUUCUG